rnacentral:lncRNA from 1 species
GCACAAGAGCUCUGACUCUGAAACCAGACUGCCUGAAUUUGAAUCCAGCCACGAUUAGCUGUGCGGGCAAGUCACUUCGCUCUCUGUGCCUCCGUUUCCCCAACGAGGCCUCUGUCUUCUCAGAAAAGCUGCUAAUUGACACUCAGAAAGCAUGGCACUAACGAUGGGGUGGAUCUGCUGCCUGAGGAUCUGGAGAGUAAGAUACAGUUGCCAGCAUGAGAGUCUUGACUGAAUAUGUCACAGUUGUGUAGCUUAUGCUUAAAGACAUUCCUGGACAGAGCCAGGAAGGGCCCCUCAGAUCAUGCAGUCUGAGGCUUCGCCCUUGAGCAGAACAGCUCCCAAGAGCACCCCCACCAAAGUCUGAGCAUCAUUCUACAAAUGCCUUAUCCAGCAGUGAACAUUCUAUUGCAGCCAAGCGAAGAGCAUCAAUUGCAUGUUUUGCUAUAGAGCAAAGCAACAAAACGAUGCCUUACAGCUUUUAUGGCCAAACACAUACAAAUGAUGUAAUUGGGAAAAGCUGUCUCCGAAUAGAAGGGAAAAAAUAAAGGGCAGUCCUUUGAGUUGGGAUGAUGACCACCAUUCGAGGGUCUGGGAUCAAAGCUCCAGCCAGACAUCAAAGCCCAUUUGAGUCUAACGUCAAAAGAGCCACAGUGAAUUAAACUUCAUAUAUAAACUAAUUACAGCUUGACCCCACAAUCAGGCCUCAGUGAGCACAUGGGGGAAAGAAGGCAGACAUUGAAACAAAGGAUCAAGAAAAAGGAAAGUUGGUAACAAAACUGGGCAACAUCAUGGCCCUGAACACUUUAAAAAUCUUCUGAGGGCAGAGGGGAACAAGGGAAUGGCGGCAGAAACAGCGAACUUUGGACAAUGCUGGUCUUGUUUGCAAGGCUGUGAAACAGCUCCUUCCACCCUCACCGACUGUGCACAGCCAAACGCAUCCUUAUUCCUGGAAGAAAAGGUUCUCUUUCAGCUCUGUUUUAGCGUUCUUAAAGAGGUUCCCUGUCACCAGGCUUCUGUUGAAGAAACACAAGGUGACUCCACGAAGUUUGGAAGUGAGUUCUUCAGGAAGCUCAAGCUUCCUCACACAGAGCACCCUGUGCUCCAAAGACUCGAAUCUGCCUGGGAGUGACUUGUAUACCGCAUGUCUUAACCACUGACGUGUCCACAGCCUCAGACUUCAGCCCCUUAGCUCUGCCAUUUCUGCUGGUCAUCUUUACAGAUGGAAGGUGUGACGUGCCAAGUGAGCAAAUGUACCCUGGAAGCUGCCCUGGUACUAACACCACGGAACCAUUAAGACAACUUCAUCCCCAGGCAAAAUUUAAAAGUGUUUCAGAGACAAGUAGCUUUAAACAUUCAGUGGAUUUUGCCCUUAACUCUGCCUUGUUUGGACUGGUCUCCAAUUAUUUGAAAUUCUCGCUCUCAUGAACUAGAAAACUAUUGCACAUCUGAUUUGAUAAUCCAUAGAACAUUUUCAAUCAUACCUCUUUGUAGAUAAGCUUUAGUGAUUUCUUAAAAUAACAAAACCUAAAUUUAUAAGCUGAGUCUAUUUAAUAAGAGAAAAAAAUUCAAAGCAGGCAUUCUGAUAGGACAAAAACAAAUAGGUACCAUCAUCAUUACAUGGCACCUCUUUGAGUAUUCACUCAUUUAUUCAAGAGAUGUUUAUUGAGUAUCUAAUAAAUGCCAGGCCCUGGGGAUACAGUCAGACAUAGUUCCCCCCUUCAUGGAGUUUAUGGUCCAAGAGGUAAACUGGCGCCAUGUAAAUAAUUACACACCAUACAUAUGUGUGAGGUAUAGAUAUAUGUAUUUCCAAAUAUAUACAUAUUUCCAUAUAUAGUCCCAAAUAUAUAUAUCAUUCCGAAUUGUGAAAAAAACUGCAACAAUUUGCAAAAUAAUAAUCUAGAAGUAGAUAUAUGUAUGAUUAUAUCCAAAAGUCAUACUCAAAGAAAAUCAGAAAAAAAAUUACUGAACUUUAAAGAUUUUCUUUUUCCCCCAAUGCACUCCCCCGCCACCCCAUAUAGUGGUGUAUUUUUAGUUGUGGGUCCUUCUAGUUAUGGCAUGUGGGAUGCCGCCUCAGCGUGGCUUGAUUAGGGGUGCCAAGUCCCCGCCCAGGAUCCAAACCUGCGAAACCCUGGGCCACCGAAGCGUAGCGCGCGAACCUAACCACUCGGGCACCGGGCCGGCCUCUUUGAACUUUAUAAAAACUGUUUUUUUACAGGGAAGGAGAUCUUACAUUUUACUUUUUAUCAUCUUUUUAAAAAAUAUUUACUCUCCUAAAAGCUACAUUUGAAAUGUCUUUAGGGAGAUACUUGCUCUAGAGUAAAAUAAUUCAAUAUUUUCAUCUAAAUAUCAUUCACUGAAAGGUAGUACAUGUAUAUGUAGUUAAACUUUAAGAUAACUACCUUACAGAUCUGUUUAUCACCUUUUCCUCAGAAUGAUCUCAGAAAGGAGAAAGAGAGAGCAUCGCCCCCACCCCGUGGUCCUAGGGGCAGUUUCCAGAGUGGUUUCGCCAUCGUUUCUACACCAGCAAAGAGAAAGGACCAAGCUGAUGUCUAGCGGGAGAGCUCUAGGUUGCUAACAUGAGAGCAGAGGCUUUAGGGUUCCCACGGUUGGUCCAGUUCGUCCACUUCCUUUGCUCCUAGGAACCCAGCCUCUCUGAGGCCACGCAGAAACCCAACCAGAGCUCAAAACAAGCUCCCACGCCGAGUGCUGGGCCAGUGUUUGCCUCCAGGCCUUACAAAGCCGCUUUAAUUAAGAUCCCUGGGGGGCCUAGGGAUCCCUGAGGAAAAGCCCAGAAGGCCAUUAGCCCCUGGUGAGCGGCUGAAGCGCCCCCUGCCGGCCGGGCCGCCGCCUCGCCUCCCGGGCCGGCCCUGCGGCCGCCGCCGUGAACAGGGAGCCGCGCGGCCGCUUCACACAGCAGGUGGGCCCGGGGCGGCGCGGCGGCCCGUCCUGCCAGCCCUGCGCGACGCGGGGGGGGGCCCCAGCCCACCGCGGGGGCGCGCCCUCGGAGCCGCGGGAUCCUUUGAAGUCGCGGAGGAUGCUUUUGACAACAGAUGGGACAAUUCGCUUCUGUUCAGUUUGGUCGGCGCAGACAGCUCAGGGCGGAGGGAGUUUGGCCUAGCGAUCGGGAAACGCUGCCGUUUUGUUACACCCGACUCUUCCCCUCCCCAGGCCCUGUGGAGAAUUUGCUCGACCCUGUCUUGCCUUUCAUAGAAGCUUUUCUACAGCAGAAGAAAGCCAAUUCUCACAUGGCACUUACCGAAGUGGUGGGAGAGCAGACGCCUGAGGCCCGGCCCGCUGCCCCCUCCUCGCUGGGCGGCGACGCCGACUGCCCUCUGUCCGCCUCUGUAAAUGGGGCUUAUUCCUGGCCUGACAGAGAGGUUGUGAAAUGUCUGGAAAUAAAAGUUGGUUACCCCAAAGUCCCAAAUAUUAGACAUGCGUGUGCACACGCACACACCCCCAGAAAAUGGACAUUUUAGGACAGUCCUAUCAGAUAAAAAUUACCAGUAGCCAUUGCUUUGACAGUUUUCAUAUAUUGCUUUAAAUUUUUUCCUGGAGCAUCAUGUUUUCGGAACACUUUAUUGGGUUUUGAACUGUAGGUAGGUCUGAGGGACUUCCAAACAGCAGCUCUGUGGUUUCACCGGCUGGCACUGCGGGCUGCCAGGAUAAUUCAUGGCGAUGCUGCCUGCAGAAACCGUGUGGACCAGAAGGGCGGUGUGGCUUACUGGAAAGGGCUAAGCUUUGGGCCGGUGUCAACUCCUUAAAAAAAGCUUUUAACCGGUCGGAGCCUCAUUUGCCUCACUAGUAAAACGGGCUGGCCAUUAAUUCACACAUAGUGAAUGUGAAGGAUCUGACACACAGUGAACACAGGAGAACAGUGACUUCCUUCUUUCUUCUCCAUCUUUUAUCUGAGAUAUUAUUUGGGUUACUGAAGUUUAUUUAGCCCCCUUCCUUUUUUGCAUAGCCUCUUAUUAUGGAAAAUUUCAAAACACAAAAGUAGAGAGGAUGGUAUGAUGAAUUCCCGUGAAAAAAUCACUCAGGUUAACAGUCAUGAACAGGCUCCAUUUAGAAAUGAAUAUUUUGAUAAUUUGGGGAGCAGCAGAUAUAAACAGAGUUACAGAUUCGAGCUGUAUUCCCACCAUUAGUUUAGUGCCAAGCAUAUAAUGAGCACUCAAAAAUGCUGGAUGUUAUUAUCAUCAUUGUCUAUUAUUUUUUUCUAAAUUUAUCCAAAAAGUUUUUAUGGAACUUAUAUAAUACACCUUUCAUCCAAAAGGCACAAAGCCCUUCCCACAGUCCUUAGGGUGCAUCCUGAUGUGGGGACAUCAGGAACAGCUGCGAGGUGGGGCUCCCAGCUCUCAGGACAAGACCCCAGUUGCUGGUCCUGUGGUCUGAGUGUUCUUGUGCACCAGUGACUUUCUCCCUCAUGUCCUGUCUCGCCUGCUGAGCUUGGCAGUGAGCUCCUGGAGAGCUGGAUUCAUGCCUGAUCCAGCUUUACCCUCCAGGGUAAGUGGCAGGACUGGGUGAGUGUUGAAUGUUCACAGUUAGAGAGUCUGGAACAAAGGACUAUGAGAAAAAGAACUACAUAAUCAAAUUAGCUUGAAAAUUCGUAAAAGCAGCCCCAGUGUCUAGAUUGAGUUCCCUUUAUUUGGGUUAGAAAGAUGUUUUUCAUGAACAACUAAAUCUACUAUGUUACAUAGAUUAAAACUAAUAGACCCUUCUGGCCAUUACACAUAGAAACACCGAAGCCAGGAAUGUGACUCAAAAAACUCAGAAGUAACUUCUUGGCUUAAUUACUGUUGCUUCUCUCGCUCAAUUAGAUUUUAAACUCCUCAAGGGCAGGGACAAAUCCUACUUCAUCUCUAACUCCCUGGGAACAAAGCCGAUACAAAGCAGAUGCUCACCAAAUGCUUGUUUAAUUCAAUCAUCUUUCAAGGUAGAUUGAGAUGGAAUCCCCGCUCUGUGACACACCAAAAGGACCGACUUUGGAAAAUUCUGUAAAUAUUUAGAAACAAACCAAAAUUGGGUGCUUUUCCUGUCUGCUCCACUUUCAGAAACGGUCUUUUGUAAGUUUGUGCCUUGUAGGAAAACAUGAGGAAACAGGAAAAAGAGAAACGGUUCCAUUUCUGAAAAGAUAAGAAUAAAGUCUGAUACAGACAAAAGCAUUUGGGGUCAGUAGAGUUAAAACAAACUCAGUCUGCCCAGCCUCUUUGAAGUUGACAAGAAACAGAGAAUGACCCAUUGGUCCAUUCUGGAGCACAAAGCAGCUUCAUCAGCAUUUCAUCAAUGAGAGGACAGCGUGGGGCAGCACAGCCAGGACACCUGGCACUGUGUAAGAAGCCCUGGGUAUUUUUACCUCGAGGACAUUUCCACCUCAGCUCUUCUCUGUGUCUGCGUGUGCAUAUGAGGAUGAGGAAUGGCGGGGGUAUCACUAACUUGGGGUUCAUACUUUCUCAUUGCUUCUAGUAAUGGAAUUCCUAUGAAGAUACUUAAACAAUGGUUUCAUUUUGUUUUGUCAUUAAUUCAAGUUUACUCCUUCACGAUAGUCCGUAGCACAUCACAGAGUCCUAAGUACUUGCUAGGAGCUUAAUAAAUAUUUGUCGAAUUGGGUAGGUGCAAGGGGUAGAAAUCACUAAUGGAAUAUUAAACAAAUUCCGUUUCCACUAAGGAUAUUACUUUGGUGAGGGCUCUUCUAGGUGAAAAUGGUUCCUUUCCAAAGAUGGGUGCAUGUAGCCCACUUCUCUGAGCACAGAUAGAUUUACACUAAAAACUGUUCAAACCCCAAGCCCUUCUGUCCUACUGAACAUGUACCUGGCAGAUCAAAUACAGUCCGACUGACGCUGAGGUCUGCCUAGGAUUUUUCCAGGAAGCCAGGAGCUUACCUUGCCCACUGCCAGCUGCUGUGGCUUCAGCUGCUUCGGUCAGCAAAGGGAGGGAAACCUGGUUGUGCUGCACACUGGGUGUCCCUUUAUGUAUCAGGCUGUGCC